ensembl:lncRNA
CCUUAGUUAAAGCAUCUGCCUGGAAUGUGGGAGACCCGGGUUCAAUCCCUGGGUUGGGAAGAUCCCCUGGAGAAGGAAAUGGCAACCGGCUCCAGUACACUUGCCUGGAGAAUCCCAUGGAGGGACGAUGCUGGUAGGCUACAGUCCAUGGGGUCGCAAAGAGUCGGACACGACUGAGCGACUUCACCUUCACUUUCAUUUUAGACCUAUCUGAUUGGUCUCCCAGGAGAGGGUCGCUCAUCUCCCAGGUAAAAUCCAGGCUCUGUUGAAAAAGUAAAAUGGAACAGUUGCUGGCACCAGGACCCAGCUGGCUCACAGAUUACUGUUUAACUGAACUGGCUGCCAUUUUAGGAAUGUUUAGGUCGCUGGCCCGAGAGAAUUCAUCCAAGGUGACAGGGCAGAAACUGAGGGAUGAUCCAGGUGGUGCGGCUGGAAGCAAGGGGAAACAUCUCAGUAAUUCCAGAGUGCAGCUCUGAAGAGGAAGGUCAACGUACAACAGGACUCAUCAACCCCUCCCAGGUUCAGUUGUAGUGUGGUUAGUCUUUCUUCAAGUCACUUCCCUAGAUGGAGACCUGGAAGUUAUAUUCUCUGACUCCUCAACUAUUCUCAUUUUGCUGCAAAAGAUGGAAAGUACUAAAAUCACUGUGGAUGGUGACUGCAGCCAUGAAAUUAAAAGACGCUUGCUCUUUGGAAAGAAAGCUAUGACAAACUUAG